UGCUGGAGCAAUUUUUAAACCCUAGCCAAUUUUUAUACUGCGCCUUAACUCCUUGGAGUGCACCUCAGUGUGCCUCGCGCCUUGGUGCGCCUAAGGGAGUUGGUGCGCCUUUCUUGCCAUCGAGCCUGCACCUGGCGCCUUGCGCCACUGUAAAUGAUACACUAUAAAAUAAUCACUUAUAAUAUACCCCCCUUUUUAUUGAGGAAUAUGCCUCUUGAAGAAUAUUCUCUAGAAUAUGCUAAGAAAUAUGCUCCUAUCACUUUUCCCUAUAAAUAGGGCCAAAUAAGGAUGAAAAAGGGGUUUCUCUCUCUCAAACCUUCUCUCUCUUUCCUUCUUUUCAAACCUACUCUCUAUUCUCUCUCUACUAUAUUUCUAGUAUACUACUAUCCCCUCUAACUUGAGCGUCAGAGGGUCCUCAUGAGAGACCUCCCUGAUAGACCUCUGACUAUUCUUUCUUUAUUUGCAGGUCCCCUAAGCUGAGACAAUGAAAAUGGGUCCUAUAUUAUUGAAGCUACAGUUUCAAGCUUCAUUAAUAAACAUAGAAAAUACAUAAAAUGAAUAUCGGCUUCAGCAUUAAUAUCAUUUUUUUCCCUUUAGGAGAAAACUAUGAGGACUUGUUAGAAAAUAAAAUAAAAAGAAGGUUUGCGAAGAUUGGGAUUGUACGAUACUAGGAACUCUUAUCGAAUCAUUAUGUGGAGGGCUUCUUUCUCCUAGUCUAGUCUCUAGCAAGCAUUGCUCUAAAGGUUGUUGUUGUCAAAGUAAUUAAAAAU
rnacentral:misc_RNA from 1 species